CGGCGGCGGCGGCGGCUCCCGUCCGCAAGGCCAACAAGGCGCGCAGCAAGCUCUGCGAGAUCAUCUAGUGGCCGCGCGGCUCGGCACGAGAACACUGCAUAGCUCCAGUGCUGCUCCCAAAGGAUAGAGAAGUAAGGCUGAUACAAACUAGAGAGGAAGUAGAUUUCCAGACUGCUUCACGACAAAAAAAGGACAGCCAGUUACCUACAUCGUUCGUUCUACGAUAUUUGAGGGCUGUCCGGAAGACUUACAAGAAUCGAGAGAGUACUGAAUUUCUAAGAAUCUAGUCUGAAAAACUGGGUAGCUGAAGCAUAAAUCAGUAUACGUAGGUCUUAGGAACUUUUAAUGUGAUAUACUCACUGCACUGUCUCAUGAAAUGGCCUAUCCCUUGUUAUCUUUAUAAGCUGUCAAUUUAUCGUUCCUUUUGUAAUAUAGUUUCUCGGUGAUAUUUGUGAUAAGCAAUAAAAACUAAAGCGAGAGUAAUUUUUAGAAGUCGAUCUUUCAAGUCAGAUAAUUAUGAGAACAUGUGAGUUUAAAUCCGAUUUUCGUAAAUAUAAAGAUAAUUUGUAAUGACCAUCAGUAUUAACAAUGUACCGUAGUUUGUAAGAAAAUAAAUUUGAGAAAACUUUUACUUUCCACUGUUUUA